UACGUAGGGGGCCAGCGUUGCUCGGAAUAACUGGGCGUAAAGGGUUCGUAGGCGGUGCGGAAAGUUGGGAGUGAAAUCUCUGGGCUUAACUCAGGGACUGCUUUCAAAACUUCCGUGCUCGAGUGCGAGAGAGGCAAGUGGAAUUGCAGGUGUAGCGGUGAAAUGCGUAGAUAUCUGCAGGAACACCCGUGGCGAAGGCGGCUUGCUGGAUCGCAACUGACGCUGAGGAACGAAAGCUAGGGGAGCAAACAGG
rnacentral:rRNA from 1 species